GAACUUGGACUUGCAGGACUGGCCUCACUUGCAGAUAAAACAGCAUGUAAGCAUCUCUGCAGUUGCUGUCCCCAGAGCCCACUUCCUGGAUAUUGCCAGCUGCCUGGACCAACCUUUCCGAAAGAUCAGCCAGGUCACAGUGAGGGUCAAAGCAGGAGGCCACUGGAGGCUCCAAGGGCUCUGAAAUGUUGAGAACUUCCCUGCAGGUACCAGCGAAGAGGGCAAGAACACAGCACUACUUCCUUGGAUACUGUUUCCCUCCUCAGAGGGGUUUUCUGAGCUGCCCUGGGUCCUGUGAGGAAGAUCUCCCCUUCCUGUAAAGACACCAGUCCUACUGGAUCAGGGCCCACCCGUGUGACUUCACUUUUACUUGAGUACCUCUCACAGACCCUAACUCCAAAUCAGGUCACUUGCUGAGGUACUGCAUGUGAAGACUUUGACAUUUGAAUUUUGAGGGGGCCACCGUUUAACCUGAACCACCAAGGACAGAGCCAAAGACCCUGGGUGACAGGCCCAGAACAGGACCUGGUGGAGGCUCUUCUUUAGGGGAGAGAGGGAAAUGGGAGCCACCACUGGCAGAGCCUGAAGGCAGGGCAGCCAGAAAGAAGCUGUGGGAGUCCCCACCAUGGAAGACCCUGCCGAGCAUCCUGUGUCUCCUGAAGCAGACCCUGACAUGAGGACUGGGGGCACGUGUUUAUUAAGGGCGAUCCCCGGAAGGAGGAGAUAACCAGGCAGAAGUCCUAGCAGAGUAUGCCCACGCUGGUUAGUGCUGCUGCAAAGAUGAGCCGAAGACCAUGAGAGACCUCCAGGUGGUCCUUCUGGGGAGAAGAAAUGGGUUUUGGCCCCAAAUCCUUCUGCUGCAUUUUUCCCCUAUCCCUGGGAAGCCAUGAGACCUCAAACCUGUGUUCCCAAGGAGGCGAGCUGCUGUUCCCAGGUGAUGAUAUGAUGUGCUUGGGGAAAGUAAGUGGCUGCCAGACAUGGCUGAGAGCUGUUGUCACUGCCGUCAAGUGCAUGUCUCCAAGCCAUAUCACACGGCGUCCCUCGAUGUGAGGCCACAUGGCAAGUGGGCCGUGGAUCUCCCUCUGCCCUUUGCAAGCACGUAAGACAGCAGAUUUUGCAGAUACCUUGUGGCGCAGGGGAAUUUCCUUUGGCCAGGUCUGAAGAAAUAAAGCAGCAGGCACCGAGAACAAAGCCAAGGCUUUCAAAAGACAAGGAGCCAAAAAACUUACUCAAAAUAAAAGUAGUUUUAAAAUG
rnacentral:sRNA from 1 species